UGGCGGCGUGCCUAACACACCAUGCAAAAGUCGAACGAGAAAGUAAGGAGCAAUCCAUGAGUACAGUGGCGUACGGGUGAGUAACACGUGACUAACCUACCCUCGAGUGGGGAAUAACUUCGGGAAACCGAGGCUAAUACCGCAUAAUGUCUGACCAAAUAAGCGCAAGCAGCUUGAAAGGAGGGGGUCGCCAACGGCUGAUUAGCUCGUUGGCGGGGUAACGGCCCACCAAGGCAAUGAUCAGUAGCCGGCCUGAGAGGGCGCACGGCCACACUGGAACUGAAACACGGUCCAGACUCCUACGGGAGGCGAAGCAGUGGGGAAUUUUGCGCAAUGGGGGAAACCCUGACGAACAGCAACGCCGCGUGGAGGAUGAAGCCCCUUGCCGGGGUGUAAACUCCUUUCGAUCGGGACGAUUAUGACGGCAUACCGGAUGAAGAAGCACCGGCUAACUCUGUGCCAGCAGCCGCGGUAAUACAGAGGGUGCAAGCGAAUUGUAAUCGGAAUUAUUGGGCGUAAAGGGUGCGUAGGCGCAAGUGCGGUAAGUCUUCUGUGAAACCUCCGGGCUUAACUCGGAGCCUGCAGGGGAAACUGCCGUGCUAAGGAGCAAUAUGGGAGAGGUGAGUGGAAUUCCCGGUAAGUAGCGGUGAAAUGCGUAGAUAUCGGGAGGAACACCUGUGGCGAAAGCGGCUCACUGGACCAUUACUGACGCUGAAAUGCACGAAAAGCUAGGGGAGCAAACAGGAUUAGAUACCCUGGUAGUCCUAGCCCUAAACUAUGAUAACGCUUGAAGUGAAUGACAGGUACCCAAUCCUG
rnacentral:rRNA from 1 species